GAGACUGCAGCCUAAGCAGACACCUUGGUUGCAGCCAUGUGAGACAACCUGAAACAGAGGGCACAGCUAAGCCUCAGCCAGGUUCAUGACCCUCUGAGGAAGCUGUGAGAAAGCAAAUGUCACUUUAGGCUAUUUAAUUUUGGAGGUAGUUUGUUACACAACAAUAAAUAACUAUUAUAAUUAUCUUGAGGAUUUCCUGGGGAGAAUAAAUGGAAUUGUAUAUAUAGGUCCUCAUAUGCAGAAUACUGGUACCCCAGAGAUGUUCACCCCAGAGAUGUUGUAGGAACCUGUGAAUAUGUUACAUUAAAUGGCAAAGUUUUCCUGGAUGGUUUAAGUUUAAGAUGGAAAAGUUUUACUGGAUUAUCCAGUGGGUCCAAUCUAAUAACAUGAGUCCUUAAAAAUGGAGAAUAUUUUUUGGCCAUGAUCAGAGAGACAUGUGAUGAUGGAAGAAGUGUCAGAGAUGCAAUGUGAGGGGACUAAAACUGCUGUUGCUGACUUAAAAGAUGGAGAGAGGGGAACCCGAGUCAAGGAAUGCAAAUGGCCUCUGGAAGCUGGAAAAGGCAAGAAAUGGAUUCUUCUUUACAGCCUCCGGAAUAAAAUGCAGUCAUGCUAACACCUUGAUUUUACCUCAGUGAGACCAAUACUGGAGUAUGACCUCCAGAGCUGAAUAAAAUUAUAUGUACACAUCUUAAUUUCUUGGGAUUUGAUUACUUCUUCUGCUUUGAAAUUAGACCAAGUUUAGCCUGCCUUUGCUAUUUUGGCAUAUCUCCAAUUCUUCAUGAUUUUCUCAUUGCAAAGGCCACAUAAGGACAGUGAGAAGGCAGCCACCUGCAAGCCAGGAAGAAAGGUCUCACCAGAUACCAACCCUGCCAGCAUGUUGAUCUUGGACUUCCAGCCUCCAAAACUGGCCUUCUGCUCACAUGGGCUUCCGUGCACCUGCUUCAGGAGACAGCAACACUUGUGCCCGCACUGCGGCAGGCUCCCAUCACCUGGUGGAUAUGCCGCGCCGAGUCUCAUCACACCUUAGUGAAGGAACACAUGGACCCAUAUGUUAGCGGAUGUGUUUACAUCGUUUUAUACAGAAAGGGGAAGAAAACUGCAUACCUCAGAAAGGGGUUGCUCCUCACUCUGAGUACUAGACUAAAGAUAAAAAGACUAGAUAAGAGUACUAGACUAAAGACAGAGCUGACCCAUGACAGAUGGAGUCUUGCUCUGUCACACAUGCUAGAGUCCAGUGGUAUGACCUCAGCUCACUGCAAUCUCUGCCUCCUGGGUUCAAAUGAUUCUUCUGCCUCGACCUCCCUGGCAGCUGGGACUACAGGCCUGCACCACCAUGCCUGGCAAAUUUUUAUAUUUUUUUUAGUAGAGAUGGGGUUUCACCAUGUUGGCCAGGCUGGUCUCGAACUCCUGACCUCAAAUGAUCUGCCCGCUUUGGCCUUCCAAAGUGCUGGGAUUACAGGAGUGAGCCACCAUGCCCAGCCUGUUCUUAAGUCUCCUAGAACAGGGAUUCUGAAACACAAAACUCAUCUGUUUACGCACUGAGAGCAUCUAAAGAAUUUGAAUGAGGACCAAAGCUUUUUCAAAGGUUGGAUUAAAUUACAAUUGUCCUCUCCAAAGAAUGUUCAGCUAUCCUUUAUGUACUCUGUUGCAAGUAUUUCAAGAAGGAGGUGAGAAUAUAUGAGGUUCACGUAGCAGCAAAGGAACUACAUGGUAGAAGAGGGCACCUCUUUUCCAACAUCUCUUUAUGCUAAUGUUGUACAUCUGCAAGAUGCAAGAAGAGGACAAGAGCCUAUUUUUGUAGCAUUCUUGAGUCAAGAGCUUCUAUGAAAAGCUUUAAGUAGCAACAAGCCUGCCAUUGAAAAAGAAAUAUUUGGUUUGGAAUUUGAGAUUGUUAAAAAUCAUUAUAGAAUGCAUGUUCUACUGUGAAAUAAACUGAUAAAUGAAUAGUAUGUUGGGGCAGCCCCUGAAAGGUCAUUUACACUAACCUAGAUGCUUUAUAGUUAAGGAAAGUAGGUCCAGAGAGGGGAAAUGAUCUGACCAUGGUUUCAAAGUUAUUUAGUAAGAAAUAGAAUGAGGAGUAGUUCUCCUGACAUUUAGAUAAUAGGACCACCAUAGAAAGGUGGUUUUAUGAUUCCAUUAAGAUUUGGAUCAUUUUUUUCAAGGCUUUGAAAGUGAGUGGUAAAAUUUCUAUUUUCAUUAUCUCUGGAGAAGUAUACUAGAGUAUACCAGAUAUAUAAAAAAGCCUUUCAUCUAAAAGGUAAACGAACAAAUUCCCCCCAAACCAAUGAAUAAUAUAUAAAAAGAAACUUCAGAAUGCACCAUCAAAGUGGCAAGAAAAUAAGAAAUCUUAAGAGGAAUAAAAAACUUAAAAAGUUAAAGCAAGAAUCUAGGAAAUUAAGCUAGUAUAAUUUUAAGGCAAAAAUGAAAGAAAAUUAUAAAGGAUGGUAUACUAUUUAUUUAUGCUGAUCACUGAAUAGUCUCAACUCUCUGACUUCUUGGCCCAUAGUAAGAUUGUACUGCCUGGAUUCCCAUGUGACCAAUUCUGGCCAGUGUCUUGUGAGAGAAACUAAUGUGUCUCUCUGGCUUUGGGCUAAGCAUUUAAUUGUCAGUGAGAUCCUCCAGUGCUUGUUUUCUCUCUAGUAGGAUGAUUGACCAUAUUCCACAUAGCAUUUUCUUCCACAUUUUCUGGUAUAUCAUACCACGUGUGAUAUGGUUUGGCUGUGUCCCAACCCAAAUAUCAUCUUAAAUUCCCACCUGUUGUGGGAGGGAUCUGUUGGGAGGUAAUUGAAUCAUGGGGGCAUGACUUUCCUGUGCUGUUCUUAUGAUAGUGAAUAAGUGUCAUAAGAUCUGAUGGUUUUAUAAGGGGGAGUUUCUUUGUACAAGCUCUCUUCCCUUGUCUGCCACCAUGUGAGAUGUGCCUUUUACCUUCUGCCAUGAUUGUAAGGCCUCCCCAGCCACGUGGAACAGUAAGUCAUUAAAUCUCUUUCUUUUGUAAAUUGCCCAGUCUUGGGUAUGUUUUUAUCAGCAGUGUGAAAGUGGACUAAUACAACAUGGGAAUUAUGGGAGCUACAAGAUGAGAUUUGGGUGGGUACACAGAGCCAAACCAUAUAAAUAAUCUUCUCAGUAGAUGUGAAAUAAAUACUAUUAUUAUUUCCACUUCAUGAAAAAACUGAAGAAGCGCAAAAGCUUUAAGUAAUUUGCUUCAAGGUCACAAAGUUACUAAAUUACAGAACUAGCAUUAUUGUCAGUAAGAAGGAAAAUUACCCCUAUUGUAAAGUCUAAUAUGCAAUGGCAUGACAUAUGAAGAUACUAAUAUAUAUGAGGAUAUACCUAAAUUUCAGAAUGAUGACACAAAACUACCAAAUAAUAAUGAUUAGAGAAGUUAUGAAAAUGAAAUAGAACUAAAACCCUCAGCAAAAAUAGUACAUAGUUUUGAAAAGGAUGGAGAUUAGAUGUUCAAGUGUUGUAAGCUUCUCCCAGUGUUCAAAAGUAGAGCAAAUAUAUAAAUUUUUAUUUUAUUUUAUUUCAUUUCAUUUUAAGACAGCAUCACAGUGGUGCAAUCAUGGAUUACUGCAGCCUCAACUUCCCAGGCUCAAGCAAUCCUCCUGCCUCAGCCUCCUUCGAUAAUUUUAAACUUUGUAAAAUAUUUGGCAAAAUAUUUAUAAGUGGCCACUACAAAGUCAGCUAAAAAGUGUAUACUCUCCAACUGGAGAAGAUUAGAGAAUUAAUAAUAGAGAAAAGACUGAAUCAAUUUAAAGGGAGACAAGAACGUGGGAAAAAAUGGAAAAAGCAAGACAAAUAAAAAUUAGGUGGUAGAAAGUAGAAUUAGUAAUUUCCAUUGAUGUAAGUGGACUUACUCUUUAUUUACAACACAGAAAUUUUGAAUGAGUAACUUGAUAUCAAAAUUAAAAAUAGUGGAAAUAAUAAGAAAUACAUAUUAUUUCUAUUCAUGUUAAAAUUUUUAACAUGGUAUUAGCAAAAAUAAAUGAACCAUCUAAAAAUGUAUAAUACAUUAUGAAUGUUUAGAUUCUCCAGGACUGCAAGGUAGGUUUAAUAUUAAAAAACCAAUUAGUAUAAAUUAAUUUUAUUAGCAUGUGAUUACAAAAGAAAAAUGGAUGACCUUCUCAAUGGGUAUAAAAGAAGCAUUCACUGACAUUCAAUAUCCAUGCUUGAUAAAAUUUACGGUAAACUAGAAUCAGAAGUGACAUUUAAUAAGUACAUGUUGAAAUACAUAGAAGAUGCCAUGUCCUGAAUGUUUGUGUCUUCCCAAAAUUCUGUGUUGAAAACAUAGUCACCUGUAUGAUUGUGUAAGAAGGUGGGUUCUUUUGAGAGGUGAUUAGGUCAUGAGGGUAGAAUCCUCAUGGAAAAGACUAGUGCCAUUAUAAAAGAGGCCCCAGAGACCUGCCUUUCCCCUUUCACCAUCUGAAGACACAGUUAGAAGGCAACUUCUAUGACCCAGAAAAUUGGUCUUCAUGAGACAUUGACUCUGCUGGCACCUUGAUCUUGGACUCUCCAGCCUCCAGAACUGGGAGAAAUAAAUUUCUGUUGUUUACAUGCUACCCAGUAUAUAGUUUUUUGUUAUAGUAGCCUGAAUGGACUAAGACAAAAGACAAAAAUGCUCACCAUAACUACUUAUUUUCAAUAAUUUUCUGGAAGUCCAAAGCAAGAAGAAGAUAUAAAAUUUAGAAAUACUUUUAUAGAAGAUAGAAAAGUUAGAAAAGGACAGCAUAAUGUUGCUGUUAUUAUUCACAUAUACAUUGUUUCCAUAUAAAAUGUAAAGCAUGUACUGAUAAACUACUAGACUUGAACAGGAAACUUUGCAAUGUUAAUCAAAACAAUAGCUCUAUAUAAAAUUCAAUUUGCAUUCCCAUGCCUAAUCAAUGAGAAUUAGAAAAUUUAAUGCAAAAAUGAUAUUAUUUACAAUAACAGCAAAAAUACAAUGUAUUCACCUCUCCAUUCACAUGUAUACUUAUAAGAAGAAAUAAAAGAAAGAUUUUUAUGACAUAAAGAAAAAUUAUAAAACUUAAUUUAAUAACAUUAAAAGAGAUUUAAACCAAUGGGGAGGUAAGGUAUACCACGUUCAUAAACAGAAAGAGUCCAGUAGUUUAAAGCUACCAAGUUCUCUCUUAAAACUUAAGUCAAAAACUUACCAAGACUUUUGUACAACUUGACAAAUUAAUUCUAAAAUUCUAAAUUGAUUCUAAAAUUUUUGUGAAGGAGGAAGAGCUAACAACAGCCAAAACACCCCUGAAGGAAUGGGAGGAGAAAGCAGAAAACAUGUCCUAUUGGAUGUCAAGAUCUUUGCAUAAAGCACUUUAGUUAGAAAUGCAAUUUUGACUUAAAGAUAGAAAAAUAAAUCAAUUAAAUCAGAAGAGAAUUAGCAAAAACAGACCCACAAAUAUAUGGAAAUGAUAUAUAACAAAACUUACAGUACAAAUAAUUGUGUAAAGGAAAGACAACUUAAUGAUACUAGAAAAAUAGUUAUUUAUAUAAAAAAUUAAAUUAGAUUUCUCUCUGUGUAUAAAAAUCUAUUCCAGUUAAAGUCUUAAAUUUGAAAGUGAGUCAUUUUAGAUUUUAUUUUAAUUUUAGAAGACAACAUAGAAGAAUAUCUAUAUGACCUUUGGGUGGAAGAAAAUUUUAUAACCAAGACACAGAAGUGCUUUCAUGACAUAAAUUUGUA
rnacentral:lncRNA from 1 species